UAGAAAUUCUAUCAGAGCCUGUAAAUCAGACCUAAUCCUUAGAAAGUAUCAUUUGACUUCUGCUGUACAUGAUGGGCGUCCAACUGUUGGGUGUUGUGCUGAUCUUCUUGUCUGUAGGGCUGAAUAUACAGACAGCAGAGAGCCUGCCGCUGUGCCCCACAACACCCUCAACAUCAAUUCUGCACUUCUGAAAUAGUGAUUUUAGCUGACGUAACUGGAAAGAGGCUUCCUGUUAGGAAUCAAAUCAACUUGUUUCGGUAUAAAAUCAAAAUAAUCAAGGUGUUGAAGGGUUCUAUCAACGCACAUCAAACUCAAUACGUCUACACAGCUCCACAAACAAUGUGUGGCCUCACACUGGUUCAGGGGCGAUACGUGCUUUCAGUACACCGGUUUAAAAUGGGAUCAAGUCGCUGAUGUGUGGCAUUGUCAAGCAAUGGGAACAUCUCUCCUUAACGAACAAGAAAACCUCACACGAACGUAUCUGAUGGGCUGUAACUGCACGAUCUCUACCUGUUCUGGCAGUCCAUGUUGUCCCCAAUCUGUGAAUGAAUGUAAGUGGGAUGCCAAAUCUCCUGACUCUCUGGAGUACGUCUGUCUGAGGGACAGUGACGAACUACUGUAGCUGGUACUGGCCAGCUUCAAGAGUUGAAGAAGAUGAAGCGUGCCUGGAAUAAAAGACCAGCACUUUCUCUUUCUUAAAGAUAUUUGGUUGAUGCUGAGAAUCGUUGUUCUUUCUAAUAGUAAUUCAGCUUCUGAGUCCAUUUUUAAUCAAUUUAACACUGCUGUUUUGACUCUGAGAGAGUAAAGACUUCAGCUUUCCUGUAGUUGAGUGGUAAGAGCAUUGCGUUAAGGUUGUGGGUCUGAUCCCAGGGUAUUGCACAUACCUAUGUAUAAAUAUAUAGGAUAUUGCGAUGUAAGUCGCUUUGGAUAAAAGCGUCUGCCAAAUUAAUAAAUGUAAAUGUAAUGUAGAGAUCCCAUUCUUC